rnacentral:rRNA from 1 species
GUGAGGAAUUUUGCGCAAUGGGGGAAACCCUGACGCAGCAACGCCGCGUGAGUGAAGAAGGCUUUCGGGUCGUAAAGCUCUGUCGAGUGGGAAGAAUGUUUAUAUGUUGAAUAUGCAUAUGAAUUGACGGUACCACAGAAGGAAGCACCGGCUAACUCCGUGCCAGCAGCCGCGGUAAUACGGAGGGUGCAAGCGUUAUUCGGAAUUAUUGGGCGUAAAGAGCGCGUAGGCGGCUUUACAAGUCAGGUGUGAAAUCCCGGGGCUCAACCCCGGAAGUGCAUUUGAUACUGUAUAGCUUGAGUAUGGGAGAGGGAAGUGGAAUUCCUGGUGUAGCGGUGAAAUGCGUAGAUAUCAGGAGGAACACCGGUGGCGAAGGCGGCUUCCUGGACCAAUACUGACGCUGAGGCGCGAAGGCGUGGGGAGCAAACAGGAUUAGAAACCCUAGUAGUCC